UUUGGUGACUAUAUCAAAGUGGAUACACCUGUUCCCAUACCGAACACAGAAGUUAAGCACUUUAGAGCCGAAAAUAGUUGGCGUUAUGCCUGCAAACAUAGGUCGUUGCCAAGC
rnacentral:rRNA from 1 species